AUUGAACGCUGGCGGCCGGCCUAACACAUGCAAGUCGACCGAGUGGCGGACGGGUGAGUAAUGUCUGGGAAACUGCCUGAUGGCGGGGGCUAACUACUGGAAACGGUAGCUCAUACCGCAUACCAUCGGAUGUGCCCAGAGGGGAUUAGCUAGUAGGUGGGGUAACGGCUCACCUAGGCGACGAUCCCUAGCUGGUCUGAGAGGAUGACCAGCCACACUGGAAAUGAGACACGGUCCAGACGCCUACGGGAGGGAGCAGUGGGGAAUAUUGCACAAUGGGCGGAAGCCGGAUGCAGCCAUGACGCGUGUAUGAAGAAGGCCUUCGGGUGGUAAAGUACUUGCAGCGGGGAGGCGUUACCCGCAGAAGAAGCACCGGCUAACUCCGUGCCAGCAGCCGCGGUAAUAC
rnacentral:rRNA from 1 species